AUAUCAACCAAGUAUUCAAGUAAAACAAGAGGCCCAUGGGCCUUAUAGGUCACCUGAGCAUUAUGUAACAACUUUCCAGUGAUUGAAUUUGAUUCAUGUUUUAAGCCAGAUGCUAUGGCAUUCGCAAUUUUGAAAGAGGCACAAUUGAUCAUCAUAACUAUACACUUAGCAGUUGCUUAGUUUGUUACUUAAUAACAUUGGCAUGGUAGGGGAAUUAAAAAUGCAUUUCAACUAAUCAGUAAUAUUCAGCAAUAAUCAGUAGUGCCCCUACCACACAUGAACCCAUGACCCUUAGGCCUAGAUCCACACAUUGCACAAUUUUUAAAAAGGCAUCCUUACUUUUCAGAAUUAUUUGAUUAAUACAUGUACCAAGGAGCAGAUUUCAAACAAUUCUUUCCUUUUCAGUCUAUAAGUACAACCCAUCCCUAUGGUACUCCUGACCCUGCAGCCAUAAAAUUCACAAUUCUGGAAGAUUAGGGCCCUUGCUCAUAACUAUAUAGGUAGUUCAUCUGCUUAAAACCCAGGAGCAGAGAAGAAAAUUUCCAAAGAAUUCAUUUGUUUUCACAAUAUAAUCAAUAGAGCCCCGCCCUAACACCAGAACCCCUGACCCUGGGGCCAUAAAAUUUACAAUUUUUGAAAAGGCACUCUUGCUCAUCAUAACUAUGUACUUAGUUGGUUUAUUUAAUACCUAGGAUCAGAGAAGAAGAUUUUCAAAAAAUUUCUGUAUUUUCACUAUAUAAUCACUACAGCCCCGCCCUAACACCAGAACCCCUGACCCUGGGGCCAUAAAAUUCACAAUUUUGGUAGAGGCCCUCUUUCUCAUCAUAACUAUGCACUCAGUUAGUUUAUUU